GCAACCCCUGCUUUGUUGGGGGCUUACUAGGUUCAAUUUCACGUAACAGAAAACCUCAAAAUAACAGUAGCUUCAACAAGACUCACGUUUAUUUCUCUCUCAUGAAAAGAAGCCCAGGUGGACACCGCCCUGGGCUGGUGUGGUCCUACCAAUGAGGAAACUGAGGUUAGAGAGGUGAAGGUUCUUGGUCUCAGUUACCAGCUCAAUUGCUCAUCGUAGGAUUUGCACGUAGUUCCUAAUGAUCCCAGGUUGCAGUUGUUGGCAUCAAGUCAAGCUCUGUGCUAUUGGACAUUGUCAUCCCAAGCUCAUGUUGUCUAACUUUUUCCCUGUUUGCUGCAGAUACAGCCUUUUCCUCCCUCUCCAUGAACUCUGGAAACAGUACAUCAGGGACCUGUGCAAUGGGCUCAAGCCAGACACGCAGCCACAGAUGAUUCAGGCCAAGCUGUUAAAGGCAGAUCUUCACGGGGCUAUUAUUUCAGUGACAAAAUCCAAAUGCCCCUCUUAUGUGGGUAUUACAGGAAUCCUUCUACAGGAAACAAAGCACAUUUUCAAAAUUAUCACCAAAGAAGACCGCCUGAAAG
rnacentral:sRNA from 1 species